rnacentral:rRNA from 1 species
UACAGAGGGUGCAAGCGUUGCUCGGAAUUAUUGGGCGUAAAGGGUAGGUAGGUGGUCUCAUUUGUCUAGGGUGAAAUCCUUGGGCUUAACUCAAGAAGUGCCCUAGAAACGGUGAGACUGGAGUCCUGGAGAGGGUCGUGGAAUUCCCGGUGUAGCGGUGAAAUGCGUAGAUAUCGAGAGGAACACCGGUGGCGAAGGCGAGUCCCUGGAAAACACCUGACACUGAGGCACGAAAGCUAGGGGAGCAAACAGG